UACGGGGGGGGCAAGCGUUGUUCGGAAUUACUGGGCGUAAAGGGUUUGUAGGUGGCUUGCUAAGUCAGACGUGAAAUCCCUCAGCUUAACUGGGGAACUGCGUCUGAUACUGGCGAGCUUGAGUGCAGGAGAGGAACGCGGAAUUCCAGGUGUAGCGGUGAAAUGCGUAGAUAUCUGGAGGAACACCGGUGGCGAAGGCGGCGUUCUGGACUGCAACUGACACUGAGAAACGAAAGCCAGGGUAGCAAACGGG
rnacentral:rRNA from 1 species